GCGGGUGUGGCGCAGUGGUAGCGCAUCUGCUUCCCAAGCAGGUAGUCGUGGGUUCGAAUCCCAUCACCCGCU
rnacentral:tRNA from 1 species